rnacentral:rRNA from 1 species
AUUGAACGCUGGCGGCAGGCUUAACACAUGCAAGUCGAGCGGAGAUGAGGUGCUUGCACCUUAUCUUAGCGGCGGACGGGUGAGUAAUGCUUAGGAAUCUGCCUAUUAGUGGGGGACAACAUCCGAAAGGAAUGCUAAUACCGCAUACGUCCUACGGGAGAAAGCAGGGGAUCUUCGGACCUUGCGCUAAUAGAUGAGCCUAAGUCGGAUUAGCUAGUUGGUGGGGUAAAGGCCUAACAAGGCGACGAUCUGUAGCGGGUCUGAGAGGAUGAUCCGCCACUGGGAAUGGAAAACGGCCCAGACUCCUACUGGAGGCAGCAGUGGGGAAUAUUGGACAAUGGGGGGAACCCUGAUCCAGCCAUGCCGCGUGUGUGAAGAAGGCCUUAUGGUUGUAAAGCACUUUAAGCGAGGAGGAGGCUACUGAGACUAAUACUCUUGGAUAGUGGACGUUACUCGCAGAAUAAGCACCGGCUAACUCUGUGCCAGCCGCCGCCGUAA